rnacentral:sRNA from 1 species
CUCACGCCUUCGUUAGCCGAAUCUUAUUACCGCCAGAUUUUCGCCCAUCGAACGCCCGGUCGACUUGCGAAAACAUCCUGGCGUUGGCCCGAUCCAGGCGGUCUCGGAUUCCUCAGCCCCCAGCCCCCCGAGGUCGUCGGGGUCGGGCCUGACGCAGCAACCAAUCCCCCAGCCUGGGCCAACGUGAGUUGGCCUUUUU